GCAAGAUUAAAACUCAAAGGAAUAGACGGGGACCCGCACAAGCGGUGGAGCAUGUGGUUUAAUUCGACGAUACGCGAAGAACCUUACCUGGCCUUGACAUAGAAAGAACUUACUAGAGAUAGUUUGGUGCUAGCUUGCUAGAACUUUCAUACAGGUGCUGCAUGGCUGUCGUCAGCUCGUGUCGUGAGAUGUUGGGUUAAGUCCCGCAACGAGCGCAACCCUCGUGUUUAGUUACUAACAGUUCGGCUGAGGACUCUAGACAGACUGCCUGGGUAACCAGGAGGAAGGUGAGGACGACGUCAAGUCAUCAUGGCCCUUACGGCCAGGGCUACACACGUGCUACAAUGGGGUAUACAAAGAGCCGCAAUACCGCGAGGUGGAGCAAAUCUCAUAAAAUAUCUCCCAGUUCGGAUUGAAGUCUGCAACUCGACUACAUGAAGUUGGAAUCGCUAGUAAUCGUGAAUCAGCAAUGUCACGGUGAAUACGUUCCCGGGUCUUGUACUCACCUCCC
rnacentral:rRNA from 1 species